ACGCUCGACACCUACGGGGGGCAGCAGUGGGGGAAUAUUGCACAAUGGGGGGAAACCCGUGAUGCAGCAACGCCGCGUGAGUGAAGAAGUAUUUCGGUAUGUAAAGCUCUAUCAGCAGGGAAGAAAAUGACGGUACCUGACUAAGAAGCCCCGGCUAACUACGUGCCGGCAGCCGCGGUAAUCUGAGCGGGCUGGCAAGGC
rnacentral:rRNA from 1 species